rnacentral:rRNA from 1 species
AACAGUGGACAAUGGUCGAAAGCCUGAUUCAGCUAUGCCUCGUGUGUGAAGAAGGUCAUUGGAUAGUAAUGCACUUUCUGUUGGGAGGAAGGGCAGCAAGUCAAUACCUUACUGAUUUGACGAUACCGACAGAAUAAGCAUCGGCUAACUUCGUGCUUGCAGCCGCGGUAAAACGUAGGCUGCAUGCGUUAAUCGGAAUUACUGGGCGUAAAGCGCGCGUAGGUGGUUUGUUAAGUUGGAAGUGAAAGCCCCGGGCUCAACCUGGGAACUGCUUUCAAAACUGGCAAGCUAAAGUAUGGCAGAGGGUAGUGGAAAUUCCUGUGUAGCGGUGAAAUGCGUAGAUAUAGGAAGGAACACCAGUGGCGAAGGCGACCACCUGGGCUAAUACUGACACUGAGGUGCGAGAGCGUGGGGAGCAAAC